rnacentral:rRNA from 1 species
GACUGACCGAUAGUGAACCAGUACCGUGAGGGAAAGGCGAAAAGAACCCCGGCGAGGGGAGUGAAAAAGAACCUGAAACCGUGUACGUACAAGCAGUGGGAGCCCCACCACUAAGCCAGUGGUGAACUCCACAUACGCAUCCUUUGCUGAGGAUACGGUUAACGGAGCGAAAGCGACGUUCAACCUCAAAAGAAGCAGAGGGGGCUUAGUGGUGGGGUGACUGCGUACCUUUUGUAUAAUGGGUCAGCGACUUAUAUUCUGUAGCAAGGUUAACCGUAUAGGGGAGCCGGAGGGAAACCGAGUCUUAACCGGGCGUUAA